GAUGAAGAACGCAGUGAAAUGCGAUAAGUAAUGCGAAUUGCAGAAUUUCCGUGAGUCAUCGAAUCUUUGAACGCACAUUGCGCCCCCUGGUAUUCCGGGGGGCAUGCCUGUUCGAGCGUCAUUUCACCACUCAAGCCUCGCUUGGUAUUGGGCAACGCGGUCCGCCGCGUGCCUCAAAUCGACCGGCUGGGUCUUCUGUCCCCUAAGCGUUGUGGAAACUAUUCGCUAAAGGGUGUUCGGGAGGCUACGCCGUAAAACAACCCCAUUUCUAAGGUUGACCUCGGAUCAGGUAGGGAUACCCGCUGAACUUAAGCAUAUCAAUAAGCGGAGGA
rnacentral:misc_RNA from 1 species